rnacentral:rRNA from 1 species
UUAAGCGACUAAGCGUACACGGUGGAUGCCUAGGCAGUCAGAGGCGAUGAAGGGCGUGCUAAUCUGCGAAAAGCGUCGGUAAGCUGAUAUGAAGCGUUAUAACCGACGAUACCCGAAUGGGGAAACCCAGUGCAAUACGUUGCACUAUCGUUAGAUGAAUACAUAGUCUAACGAGGCGAACCGGGGGAACUGAAACAUCUAAGUACCCCGAGGAAAAGAAAUCAACCGAGAUUCCCCCAGUAGCGGCGAGCGAACGGGGAGGAGCCCAGAGUCUGAAUCAGUUUGUGUGUUAGUGGAAGCGUCUGGAAAGUCGCACGGUACAGGGUGAUAGUCCCGUACACCAAAAUGCACAGGCUGUGAACUCGAUGAGUAGGGCGGGACACGUGACAUCCUGUCUGAAUAUGGGGGGACCAUCCUCCAAGGCUAAAUACUCCUGACUGACCGAUAGUGAACCAGUACCGUGAGGGAAAGGCGAAAAGAACCCCGGCGAGGGGAGUGAAAUAGAACCUGAAACCGUGUACGUACAAGCAGUGGGAGCACCUUCGUGGUGUGACUGCGUACCUUUUGUAUAAUGGGUCAGCGACUUAUAUUUUGUAGCAAGGUUAACCGAAUAGGGGAGCCGUAGGGAAACCGAGUCUUAACUGGGCGUCUAGUUGCAAGGUAUAGACCCGAAACCCGGUGAUCUAGCCAUGGGCAGGUUGAAGGUUGGGUAACACUAACUGGAGGACCGAACCGACUAAUGUUGAAAAAUUAGCGGAUGACUUGUGGCUGGGGGUGAAAGGCCAAUCAAACCGGGAGAUAGCUGGUUCUCCCCGAAAGCUAUUUAGGUAGCGCCUCGUGAACUCAUCUUCGGGGGUAGAGCACUGUUUCGGCUAGGGGGCCAUCCCGGCUUACCAAACCGAUGCAAACUCCGAAUACCGAAGAAUGUUAUCACGGGAGACACACGGCGGGUGCUAACGUCCGUCGUGAAGAGGGAAACAACCCAGACCGCCAGCUAAGGUCCCAAAGUCAUGGUUAAGUGGGAAACGAUGUGGGAAGGCACAGACAGCCAGGAUGUUGGCUUAGAAGCAGCCAUCAUUUAAAGAAAGCGUAAUAGCUCACUGGUCGAGUCGGCCUGCGCGGAAGAUGUAACGGGGCUAAACCAUGCACCGAAGCUGCGGCAGCGACGUUUAGGCGUUGUUGGGUAGGGGAGCGUUCUGUAAGCCGUUGAAGGUGACCUGUGAGGGUUGCUGGAGGUAUCAGAAGUGCGAAUGCUGACAUAAGUAACGAUAAUGCGGGUGAAAAACCCGCACGCCGGAAGACCAAGGGUUCCUGUCCAACGUUAAUCGGGGCAGGGUGAGUCGACCCCUAAGGCGAGGCUGAAAAGCGUAGUCGAUGGGAAACAGGUUAAUAUUCCUGUACUUGGUGUUACUGCGAAGGGGGGACGGAGAAGGCUAGGCUGGCCGGGCGACGGUUGUCCCGGUUUAAGCGUGUAGGGGGAGUGACCAGGUAAAUCCGGUUGCUUAUCAACCCUGAGGCGUGAUGACGAUGCACUACGGUGCAGAAGCAGUUGAUGCCAUGCUUCCAGGAAAAGCCUCUAAGCAUCAGGUAACAUUAAAUCGUACCCCAAACCGACACAGGUGGUCAGGUAGAGAAUACUCAGGCGCUUGAGAGAACUCGGGUGAAGGAACUAGGCAAAAUGGUGCCGUAACUUCGGGAGAAGGCACGCUGGCGUUAGGUGAAAGGACUAGCUCCUGGAGCUGAAGCCAGUCGCAGAUACCAGCUGGCUGCAACUGUUUAAUAAAAACACAGCACUGUGCAAACACGAAAGUGGACGUAUACGGUGUGACGCCUGCCCGGUGCUGGAAGGUUAAUUGAUGGGGUCAGCCGCAAGGCGAAGCUCUUGAUCGAAGCCCCAGUAAACGGCGGCCGUAACUAUAACGGUCCUAAGGUAGCGAAAUUCCUUGUCGGGUAAGUUCCGACCUGCACGAAUGGCGUAAUGAUGGCCAGGCUGUCUCCACCCGAGACUCAGUGAAAUUGAACUCGCUGUGAAGAUGCAGUGUACCCGCGGCAAGACGGAAAGACCCCGUGAACCUUUACUAUAGCUUGACACUGAACAUUGAGCCUUGAUGUGUAGGAUAGGUGGGAGGCCUUGAAGUGUGGACGCCAGUCUGCAUGGAGCCAACCUUGAAAUACCACCCUUUAAUGUUUGAUGUUCUAACUCGGCCCCAUGAUCUGGGGUGAGGACAGUGUCUGGUGGGUAGUUUGACUGGGGCGGUCUCCUCCCAAAGAGUAACGGAGGAGCACGAAGGUUAGCUAAUCACGGUCGGACAUCGUGAGGUUAGUGCAAAGGCAUAAGCUAGCUUGACUGCGAGAGUGACGGCUCGAGCAGGUACGAAAGUAGGUCUUAGUGAUCCGGUGGUUCUGAAUGGAAGGGCCAUCGCUCAACGGAUAAAAGGUACUCCGGGGAUAACAGGCUGAUACCGCCCAAGAGUUCAUAUCGACGGCGGUGUUUGGCACCUCGAUGUCGGCUCAUCACAUCCUGGGGCUGAAGUAGGUCCCAAGGGUAUGGCUGUUCGCCAUUUAAAGUGGUACGCGAGCUGGGUUUAGAACGUCGUGAGACAGUUCGGUCCCUAUCUGCCGUGGGCGUUGGAAGAUUGAGAGGGGCUGCUCCUAGUACGAGAGGACCGGAGUGGACGAAUCACUGGUGUUCGGGUUGUCAUGCCAAUGGCAUUGCCCGGUAGCUAAAUUCGGAAGAGAUAACCGCUGAAAGCAUCUAAGCGGGAAACUUGCCUCGAGAUGAGUCUUCCCUGGGGCUUAAAGCCCCCUGAAGGAACGUUAAAGACUAUGACGUUGAUAGGCUGGGUGUGUAAGUGCAGCGAUGUAUUGAGCUAACCAGUACUAAUGAUCCGUGAGGCUUAACCUU